UCUCUUUCUAAGCUCUUGACUCUCUUUUCUUGUCCCCAAGAGAUAGAUCUCAAACGUGUGCACAGCCCCUUUGUUUUAGCUCUCAGUUUCCUGCUCAGUUUUGUUGUUUAUUGCUUAUUUGUUUUCUCUCUAUUGCUAUACUCAGUGUUUUCCUUUUGGUUACUUCAUCUGGGUGUUUUUUUUUUCUCUGUUAAUUUUGUAGUUUUUUUUUUUUUUUGUUGAUGCUCGAUCGAGUCUUCUUUUCUGUGACAAAAUCCGACUUGGAUUCUCUUUUAAGCUGUUUUCUGAUGCCGGAAUCUAAUCGGAGAAAUUUGGCCCACAUAUCAAAAACUAUGAAUUUUGAAAGUAUUGUGUCUAUUAGCUACAUAGAUGGCUCAGUUUGAUUUUUCCAUGACUUGCAAAUAGUACUGCAAGAAAAAGAAAAAGAAAAGCUUUGAUGGGUUCAAAAAAAAAAAAAUUAAGAAUAGGGUUUUGUUUUGUUCCAACAAGUCCUUAUUAUUCGAAAAUAAGUUUUGUUCCUAUGGUCGUGUACUCGUGUUGGACUCGGUAGAUUCUUCUCGGGUGCCCCCUUAAUGUAAUCAAAAAUCUUAAAAUCACUUUAUGUUCCAACCACUGGUAACUGGCCACGUCAGAUAAUGCCCGUGACCUUUGGGCCAAAGUUAUACAUGAAAUGAUCUGAUGAGACUUGAGAGUCAUAAAUUUUUCCGAGUCCUUUUAUUGUGUGUGUUUUUUCUUUUGUUGACGAAGGUCGUCCUAUGGAAAUGUUUGGUUGUAGUACUUUCUUCUUUGCUUUCCCUUUAUAUAUAUAGAAACAUACAUAGGUACAUAUAUAUUGUUUUUGAUUAAUUAGUAGGCUUUGUACAAGGAUGAUCAUAGAUUGACAGUCGUUGUUUGCGGGUGUAGCAUCAUCAAGAUUCACAUGCAAAUGCACGGUGGGUGAUGCAAUUAAAUUUUUUUAAUUAAAAGCUCUCUGCCAAAAUUCUUUGAAAGUGAGAAUCUUGAUGAUGCUGCAUCGGCAAUAAACGACUCUACAAAAGAGGAUUCUCUCGCAAUACUCAACACUGCCACUUUUGCACUUGAACAGUUGAACCACCAGGUGAUCCUUUCUUUCUUUCUUUUAACUACUUUUUUUUUUUUUUUUUUUGGGGCUAAGUGUGUUUCUAUUAAGUACUUUCUGUUGUUUUCUGUUGCUGUCAGGUGGGCUUUCUUUCUAGUUUCUGGGAGUUUUUUUCCCCCCCUUUUAAAUUAAAGCAAUCAAUCAAUGGAUUUACUGCAUUUUUAAAUGUUUAUUCUCUUUUGCACACUGCAUAUAUAGAAGAAAGAAUAGAACCUUGCUGUUCAAGGACCUUUUGUUUUGCUGACCUUUUGCAGAUCUGUGAUUAUUCUUCUGAGCAAAAUUUCCUAGCUAGGAUGAAAAUGGUAUCUUUUCAGGGAGUGUUUCCUGUUGAAGAUGGGACUUUGCCUCUAAAUGGAAAGAGAGAGAGAAUCUGACUUGAUGAUUCUGCAUGAACCUUCAGAAUAUUUUCAAAAGAAAGGCAAAGAAAAGUUAAGUGGAGCCGUGGAGGGAACAGUACUAAUCUCAUGAGUUUGCUAAGAAUGGAUUGGAAAAUUAUUUUUGUGAAGAAGCUGAGAAGAACUUAAGUAGAUGAUUGAUGACUGGAACUAGUUUUUGGAUAUGCAAUGAAAAAUCACGGCCACGGGAAGUUCUUGUUUGUCACUGCCAUUGUUGGCUUUCUCCUCUCAUCACUCUUGUUGGUGGACCAGGCAUCCUGCAACUUGGACCCUUUGUCAUUUUCAGAGAGGACGAGUCCAAAAGCACUAUCGGUCCCCAUGCGUACUUUGUGGUCCCAUUGGUGUCACCCCAGUGGGGUGUACAUGUGGCAGACAUGCAAGUGAAGGACAAUCUUGGGUCGCUUGCAUAAAGAUUUCAUUGGACAACAAAAUCGCACCAACUUUUCAGGAUGCAGUAAUUGUUUGAUUCUGAAAUUAAACCUAAAAUUAUGGGGUAAAAAUGUGCUAAACAAGUUCGACCAUGGUGAUCAGUAACACAGACGGACAAACCAGCUUGGCUCUCCUGCCAUGGAAAUUAAACCAAGGCUUCAUUUUUUGUGAGGUGGUGGAUUCCAGCUAAUGGAAUUGUCAUACUGUCCAUUCUAGGCUUUUCAAGUCAUGAUUGUCAUCAGUCAACAACAACCACGUAACAUGUUUCUUUUUGCUAAAAACAAUAACAUGUUUAUAAAAGUUAAAAGAUUUUACACAUACAUUUGUAAAUUAUUUUAGCAAAUUUUUUAUAAAAAAUUAAAAAAAAUAAUUUACCCAUAUGACCGUUUUUUCAAUUUUUCAUAUUUUUUUUAAAAAAAUAAAUGAUUAAUGCAUGGCCUAAAUUAACCUGAACCAAAGUUAAAAGCAUUGUUCAAUGUUUGUCUCAUAUAUUCUCUCUCUCCCUCUCUCUCUCAUAAUUGUUAGACUGAUGAUCAAAGCACUGACAAAUGUAAUUGUCAAACCAAUGCAAAGGUGUUAAAAGGAAUUCAUAAAAUGAACUAAUGGGAAGCUGACUCAAGAGUGACGAUCAGCUUUUGGACAUCUGAAUCAAA